rnacentral:rRNA from 1 species
AUGCUUCUCCUAAAGACUAAGCCAUGCAUGCCCUGAAUAAGAGGAAGCAAUUCUCUCUGAAUCUGCGAACGGCUCCGCAAACCAGUUGUAAACUAGAGCAAGCAAGUCUGGCGGGCUUCGGCCUCCAGACGAUAUGGAUAACCCUGGUAAUUCUGAGGCUAAUACAUCGACCGACAACGACCGGGCACGCCCAGACAAGUGGAUGCGUCGGGGAUGUGCGAUAUGGCUUGACAAGUAACCGGGAAAGGACG